UUUUGAUUUACUUCUCAUCAAAGAAGUAGUUGGAUCUGGAUAUGAAGGAAAUGAAGCAUCUUAGUUGAGAGAAGUUCGGCUGCUAAUUGCUUCUAAUAGUCUCAUUUGGUUUUUGACUAAAUUCUACUUCUAAGGGUCAUAUUUAAACCGAAGAAAAUAUGGCCGCUGCUAUUGUGGGAGGGGCAUUACUCUCUGCUUCUGUUCAGGUGUUGUUGGAUAAGAUCAUUUCCAAUGAGUUCUUGGACUUCUUUCGGAGAAGGAAGCUUAAUGUUUCACUUCUUGGAAAGGCGAAGACGAAGACGAAGUUAAAGACAAGUUUGAUUUAAAAGCAUGGGCAUGUGUUCAGGAUCACUAAGACCAUGCUUGAAUCGGUUACCUCAAAAACAACAAAUACUAAUAACUUGAAUACUCUGCUAUGCAAACCUUUCCUAUCUUCCAUUUGACAUCUCUUGAUAGUGAAGAUUGCUGAACACGCAUUUGUAGCAAAUAAUUCCAGUGAAAGGUCCAACCUAGAGGGAAUUGGAAGAGAAAUUGUGAAAAAAUGUGAUGGUUUGCCUUUAGCUGCAGUUGCAUUGGGGAGUCUUCUUUGCACCAAAUAGUCGAAAAAUGAUUGGAAUAAGGUACUUAGAAGUAACAUUUGGGAUCUGCCAAAUUUAAAUGUGCAACAUGCUCUGCUACUAAGCUAUCAUUUCCUUCCAGCUCCUUUGAAACGUUGCUUUGCUUAUUGUUCAAUUUUCCAGAGAACUCAGUCUUAGAAAAAGAGAUGCUAGUUCGGCUAUGGAUCGCAGAAAGUUUAGUACAUGUGACAAAAAGUAAGAAAAUCCUGGAAGAAGUUGGUGACGAAUUCAAUUUGCUGGGGAAGCUCUGCAUUUCAAAGCUAGAAAAAAUUGUUGACCCUGUGAUGCUUCACAGGCCAAUAUGAAGAAGAAAGAACAAAUUGAGGAUCUAUCAUUAGAAUGGGAUAGCUGCACUGCUCAAGAGUCCCAACAUCUUGUAUUGGAGCACCUGCAGCCUUCAACAAACUUGAACAAACUAACCAUCAAAUUCUAUGCUGGAACCUGGUUUUCCAACUGGUUAGGUAAUUCCUCAUUUGCAAACAUGGUGUAUUUGUGCAUUUAUCCAGUUGUUCUCUACUUGAGUCACAAUUUUCUGUUUAAGUAGAUAACAGAAACAUUAUCAAUGCAUCAAAUCUAUUCAGUGAAGUAA